CAAGCUGCUCCUCACACCGAUUUCUCCCGGCCGCGUCACCAACCAACGUGGCGUCGUCGAUCUCCUCCGCGCAUCCGCCGGACCUCCCUCACCAAUCUGCUCUGUCCGUGUCACCAACGACGGCCGCGUCAAGUACUUGCGCCGCCGACGCCGGAUCGGCGGGAAUCGUGCUCGAAUGGGCCAGGGGCAAACGGCGCCGGCCGGCUCUUCUCCUCGUCCUCCCGGUCUAGCCAAAGGUGCCACCCUAAUCAUCUCCUAUGACGGACAACGGUGCCACACCUCCUCUGAUCCAAGCUGACUUGACCUGUUGAGAUUGCCCCAAUGUCACCGCCGUGGUCACUGCUGGGAUGGGAAGCACGGGUCACGACGCGGAGGUCACCUGGGCCAACUUCGACGGCUCGUCUUUGGCGUCGCCUUCUUCGUUUAUCAGGACAUAUCUUAGAUGGGAGCAGUGGAUAAAGAAGUUGCAGUUCAUUACCAUUGGUUCAAGGUAACAACACUAGUUUUUUUUUCCUAUGGAACGUAUUCUAAACAAACAUUAAUCCUUUCUCUCAUUUCAGACAAAAUCCUAGAUACCACUUCAGUAUUUUUGUGCAAUGCGGUUUUCAUUGGGACCACCGGAAAUCACUUAAUUAUGUAGGAAAGAGAUGUGGAAAUCCUAUGAUAUAUGCAACUGAGAAUAGUAAUGCUUCCGUACCUCCUAAAGUGAAUGUGAUGCAACAUAGAUUUUUCGAAUAUUUAUCAAUAUGGCCCUUUGUUCUACAUAAUUAGAGUAGGUUGUAUAUUUAACAGUUAUUAUUCAUCGUUUAGACAAUAAUUGUUUGGUCGACUAUUAUGUAGUAAAGAAUUCACAGCUCUACCUCUUUGCCAACUACUAUAUUUGGUCGACCAUAGAUAUCAACCUGGCACUUCACUUGAUUAACCACUAAGGGAGCCUCCCAUGUGAUGUUUCAUAAAGAGGUUGAAUUGUUACCCAUUUGCAAACAAAUACGUAUAGAUUGAGAUAAUUUUCAUGCAUUUUUUUUUACUUUUGUUCUCCUACUGAUUUUCCUAUUAUAAUAUUACACGGUUUCUUUUAGAUGACCACAUUUGCUGGAGGUGUAUCAUCCAUGCAGGCGCAUGGACCAACUGACCACCAUAUACAUCCUCCUUUCAAGGAUGGAUUUGGUCCCUCUAUGAACCAAACAAGUUUUUUUUGUUCGAGAACAACUUUCUCAACUAUAUGCCCUUAUAACUUCUCUCAUGGUUAGUAUCAUGCUUCGGUUCUUGCAUGCGCCAUAUUUCAUGGAUUGGAAGUAGAAAUUGUGCUUAGAUAGGGUUAUUGAUGCUUAAUUUUUACCUUGGCGUGCUUAGGCCGAUUUAAGUCCUAUUGUAUCCUUAUAUGUAUCACCGUAUCAAUGAAAGAUGACAGGCGGAGAGCUCCUGCAGGCAAUAAAUUUCCUAUGGUAGGAUGAGCCUAUCAAGUUCUAACGGGAUGAAAUACACCGAGUUUCUGGAGUAAAGCCAGAGAGGCUGGUACAGGGUCUAUCUCCUAGAUAUUGUGCAUUAUCUCUGGUUGUGGAACCAAAUAUGUAUCCAGAGAUAAAUGUUCUGAUUGUUGAUCUACACCGUAGGCACAUAUCUACAUUUCUUGUCAGUAAUGCACAGUUUCCUGAUAAGAUUAAGACAUUGAAACCAAUCAAUCAUGUCAUAUUCGAAUUAAGAUAUGUUUUGGCAUUUAAGUGCUCAAAGCAACAAGCUUUAAAGAUAUCUGUUUAUAUGGUUGCAACUGUAUGUCAGUGUGGACGCAGCUACAAAGGAAACCUUGAAAACUGUCGAUAGACUAUUAUUUUCAGAAUUCCGGGAGCGUUUUCUGGAUUCACUGAAGUCUCUGCAUCACAAAGAUCAAUGAACAGUCUACCGGCUGACAUUGGUUAAAGGCUAGAAUGCAGAAGAGAUAGAUGGUUAUGCAAAGUUACUGCCUUGGCCAAUCUGAUUUCAUUGAAAUCAAGGGUGUAACAUAUUGUGGCUCGCCAGCAGCUUCCAAGUUGACUAUGGAAAAUGUCCCCUGUCACUCUGAUGUAAAAGAAUUCUCUGAGGCUUUGGCAUUAAGAAGUGGUGGCAUUUAUGAAGUAGCUUGACUUCUAUGGUUGGAAUUGAUUUCAGGACUCCAUUCAAAAAAUGUGUGGCAUAAAUGGAAUGAUUUAUGGUAGUUGCAGAGUCACUAACAAGUAACACCCCC